rnacentral:rRNA from 1 species
UACGGGGGGGGCAAGCGUUGUUCGGAAUUACUGGGCGUAAAGGGCUCGUAGGUGGCCAACUAAGUCAGACGUGAAAUCCCUCGGCUUAACCGGGGAACUGCGUCUGAUACUGUUUGGCUCGAGUCCGGAAGAGGCGAGUGGAAUUCCCGGUGUAGCGGUGAAAUGCGCAGAUAUCGGGAGGAACACCAAUGGCGAAGGCAGCUCGCUGGGACGGUACUGACGCUGAGACGCGAAAGCGUGGGGAGCAAACAGG